GCCAUCGUAGCACAAUGGUUAGUGUGUUGUCUUCCGGUUACAAAUAUAAAUACCUUUAGGCAAAGGCUGCGAGUUCGAGUCUCGUCGAUGGUU